UUUCUGUGAUGGAUAUUCACAUUCCGAGUUGUGCAUUUACUUUGUGUUUUUUUAGAAUGGCAUUUUUAUUUGUUUAUUUUAUGUGAUGGCUGUUAGAAGUCUGACUUGUGCCUCCUUUUUAUGAUCGGUGUGGAGUUCGAAACUGGACUUGGUGGGGUUUUUUUGUGAUCAAUGUUCGGCAUAAGACUUGUUUUGUUUUUUUUAAUCAACUGAUUUUUUUUGGUAGUGGCUGAUUGAAUUGACAUUUGGGUCUUUAUUGAUGGCAGUUCGGACAUGUGUUUUUUUAAUUGAUGUUCUUUAUCAGAUUUGUUUGUUUUUCUUUUAUCAAUGUUUUAAAUUGGACUUGUGCAUUUUUGUGAUCAAUGUUCUGCAUUAGACUUGUGGGCUUUUUUUUUUUUGUGAUGGCUUUUUAUGAGCUCUGUUUGAAAUUAGACUUGUGUGUUUUUUGCGAUCAUUGUUUAGUAUCGAAUUUUUUUUUAUUUUUUUUUAAAGAAUCAUGUGCUUUUUUUUAGUAGCUGAAUGAAUUGACAUUUUCUUCUUUGGAGAUGGCUGUUUUGAAUCAGACAUGUGUAUAUUACUUAAGCUCUUCAUCGGAUUUGUGUGUUUUUAUGAUCAAUAUUGUGUUUUUCGUAGUGGUUGUUUAAAUUAAUUGGUUUUUUUUUUGUGAUGGCUGUUUGGAUUCAGACUUUUGCAUUUGUUUGUUUGUUUGUUUGUUGUUAUUUAGAAUUAACUUGAUUAUUUUUUGGCAGUUAAUAUUUGGAAUCUACUUGAUAACUUUUCUUUAUGACUGCUUGGAAUCGACUUUUGUGUUAUUUGUAGUGGCUGUCUGGAAUUAUGUUGUAUUAUUUUGUUAUGGCCUUUCAGAAUCAAAUUUAUAUUAUUUUUUUUUAGGUUAUUUAGAUUUGAUUUAUUUUUUUUUUGCUUUAGCUAUUAUAAUCCAAAUUUGCUUUUUUGUGAUGACUUUUCAUAUUGACACUGGUUGAAUAAAAAUUUAAUUAUUUUUUAUUUCACAUGAUAAAAGUUUACCUUUUAUUUUGCAGUAAUUAGAUUCAUUGUGAAGAUGUGUGCACUGGGCUGGAACAUUUCCAGAGAAAGCUGGACUAGCCAUGCAUCAGCAUACUAGCCAAGAUUGAUACCUCUCCACAAAUCAACAAAGACAUCAAUGAAGCUUUGUUAAAGCUAGUGACAAUUUACAUGUUUUCUUAUGUGGCUUAAUUAUAAUAAUGUCAAGAAAGCUAAUUAAAUAAGAACUAUACAUUUUAUUGUCAGGCUUAUGUUAGUCUUACCUAUUUCUGUAAUUUCUUAUUCUUCAUUAUGGGGGGCAUUAUGAAUCUUAGAUAGUUUUCAAUGGACCUCAUUCACCAAUUGUAAACAAACAACAUUUAGCCACAUGGUGCUUUAUCUCUUCUAUAUAAUUUACGAUCUCAUGUGUAAUUCAUGAUGGUUGUCACGAGACAGUUUUUUUCAUUGUUUUAUCAAUAAGAUCACAUGACUAAAUGUUGGUGAAUGAGGUCCAUUCUAAGAUAAGUUAAUUUUUAUUGAUUUAAUCAAAUGGAUAUUCAGUUUGACUACAAUUUUGCUUAUAAAAAGCUCAAUCGUAUAGUUUUGUAUUAAAUAAUAGUUUAAUUGCGUUUUAGGUACUGAUAGUUAGUAUGCUAUGUAAUAUUAAAAUGCAGUUUUUUAUUAUUAAAAAUCAUUGUUAUGUAAAUAAUAUAAGCUAAGCAGGGGGUCUACCGAAAAGCAGAAAACAUGGCAAGGGGUCUACGAGACAAAAAAGUUUGGGAACUACUGGUCUACAGUGAAAU